GGUGAACGCUGGCGGUAGGCCUAACACAUGCAAGUCGAACGGCAGCACAGUAAGAGCCUGCUCUUACGGGUGGCGAGUGGCGGACGGGUGAGGAAUACAUCGGAAUCUACUUUUUCGUGGGGGAUAACGUAGGGAAACUUACGCUAAUACCGCAUACGACCUACGGGUGAAAGCAGGGGAUCUUCGGACCUUGCGCGAUUGAAUGAGCCGAUGUCGGAUUAGCUAGUUGGCGGGGUAAAGGCCCACCAAGGCGACGAUCCGUAGCUGGUCUGAGAGGAUGAUCAGCCACACUGGAACUGAGACACGGUCCAGACUCCUACGGGAGGCAGCAGUGGGGAAUAUUGGACGAUGGGCGCAAGCCUGAUCCAGCCAUACCGCGUGGGUGAAGAAGGCCUUCGGGUUGUAAAGCCCUUUUGUUGGGAAAGAAAAGCAGCAGGUUAAUACCCCGCUGUUCUGACGGUACCCAAAGAAUAAGCACCGGCUAACUUCGUG
rnacentral:rRNA from 1 species